GAUGAAGAACGCAGCGAAAUGCGAUACGUAAUGUGAAUUGCAGAAUUCAGUGAAUCAUCGAAUCUUUGAACGCAUAUUGCGCUCUCUGGUAUUCCGGAGAGCAUGCUUGUUUGAGUAUCAGUAAACACCUCAACUCCCCUUUCUUUUUUGAAAUGGGAGCUGGACUUGAGUGAUCCCAACGCUUUUCUCACCGAAAAGUGGCGGGUUACUUGAAAUGCAGGUGCAGCUGGACUUUUCUCUGAGCUAAACGCAUAUCUAUUUAGUCUGCCUAAAAAACAGAUUAUUACCUUUGCUGCAGCUAACAUAAAGGAGAUUAGUUCUUGUGCUGACUGAUGCAGGAUUCACAGAGACAGCUUCGGCUGGCCUUUGUAAACUCGAUCUCAAAUCAAGUAAGACUACCCGCUGAACUUAAGCAUAUCAAUAAGCGGAGGA
rnacentral:misc_RNA from 1 species